UUACACAUUCCUACACAUUUUUAAAACAUUUCUCACUACAUUUCACACAUUUCUCACUCAUUUACCUUCUCACACAUUUUUACUCUUUUUUUUUUAAUUACACAUUUCUUACUAGAUUUUACACAUUUCUCACUCAUUCUCACACAUUUCUUUACUCAUUUCUAUCAGGGCUUUUCUCACCAUGUGCAGUUUUCCAGUUUUUUUUUUUCAGGGCCGGAGCUGCUGGACUACCUGGACUGGCUGGAGGAGCACCACCCCUUUUUCCCCAGACCAACCGGUCGUGUCGUUUUUCACGUGCCCGGAUCGGCUCCAACAGUGGCGUUCGUGUUCCUCAGUCCAUCUUUUCCCGUGCAUGGACCGGAUGGAACGUCUCAGCGCCUCUACUUCCCAGCUACCGGCCUGUUCUACCCCUCUUUCUUCCCGAUCGCGUGGGAUGACAGGUUCGAGAACUGGGUGUGGCGUCUGCGCAGCCAUCUUGCACACCUGUGCUUCUUGGAACUGACCUGGAGACUCUACCUGAAGACCAGGUUUGCCACAUCACUGAUAUACUGAUAAUAGUAAGAAAUCAUACCCUUUUAAAGAAAACUAAAUUUUAAUAAUCAUAGUCUUGGAAAUACAUAUUUUUUCUUUACCUA